CCCAGACUCCUACGGGAGGCAGCAGUGGGGAAUAUUGCACAAUGGGGGAAACCCUGAUGCAGCGACGCCGCGUGAGUGAAGAAGUAUUUCGGUAUGUAAAGCUCUCUCAGCAGGGAAGAAAAUGACGGUACCUGACUAAGAAGCCCCGGCUAACUACGUGCCAGCAGCCGCGGUAAUACGUAGGGGGCAAGCGUUAUCCGGAUUUACUGGGUGUAAAGGGAGCGUAGACGGUAGAGCAAGUCUGAAGUGAAAGCCUGCGGCUCAACUGCGGGACUGCUCUUGGAACUGCGCGGCUGGAGUGCAGGAGGGGCAGGCGGAAUUCCUGGUGUAGCGGUGAAAUGCGUAGAUAUCAGGAGGAACACCGGUGGCGAAGGCGGCCUGCUGGACUGCGACUGACGUUGAGGCCCGAAAGCGUGGGGAGCAAACAGGAUUAGAUACCCUAGUAU
rnacentral:rRNA from 1 species